CCUACGGGAGGCAGCAGUAGGGAAUCUUCCACAAUGGACGAAAGUCUGAUGGAGCAACGCCGCGUGAGUGAAGAAGGGUUUCGGCUCGUAAAGCUCUGUUGGUAGGGAAGAAAGAUAGAGGUAGAAACUGGCCUGUAUUUGACGGUAAUUACUGAGAAAGUCACGGCUAACUACGUGCCAGCAGCCGCGGUAAUACGGAGGUGGCAAGCGUUGUCCGGAGUUAUUGGGCGUAAAGCGAUUGCAGGCGGUUUAAUAAGUCUGAUGUGAAAGCCUUCGGCUAAACCGGGGCAAUGCAUCAGAAAAUGUUGAACUUGAGUGCAGAAGAGGGGAGUGGAACUCCAUGUGUAGCGGUGGAAUGCGUAGAUAUAUGGAAGAACACCAGUGGCGAAGGCGGCUCUCUGGUCUGCAACUGACGCUGAGGCUCGAAAGCAUGGGUAGCGAACAGGAUUAGAUACCCGUGUAGUC
rnacentral:rRNA from 1 species